AUUGAACGCUGGCGGCAUGCCUUACACAUGCAAGUCGAACGGCAGCACGGGUGCUUGCACCUGGUGGCGAGUGGCGAACGGGUGAGUAAUACAUCGGAACGUACCUUAUCGGGGGGGAUAACGCAGCGAAAGCUGUGCUAAUACCGCAUACGCCCUGAGGGGGAAAGCGGGGGAUCGCAAGACCUCGCGCGAUUAGAGCGGCCGAUGCCUGAUUAGCUUGUUGGUGGGGUAAAAGCCCACCAAGGCGACGAUCAGUAGCUGGUCUGAGAGGACGAUCAGCCACACUGGGACUGAGACACGGCCCAGACUCCUACGGGAGGCAGCAGUGGGGAAUUUUGGACAAUGGGGGCAACCCUGAUCCAGCAAUGCCGCGUGAGUGAAGAAGGCCUUCGGGUUGUAAAGCACUUUCGUUGGGGAAGAAAUGCUCAAAGAUAAUACAUUUGAGAGCUGACGUUACCCAAAGAAGAAGCACCGGCAAACUCUGUGCCAGCAGCCGCCGUAA
rnacentral:rRNA from 1 species